rnacentral:rRNA from 1 species
AUUGAACGCUGGCGGUAUGCUUAACACAUGCAAGUCGAACGAUGAGAAAGAGCUUGCUCUUUCGAUUAGUGGCGGACGGGUGCGUAACGCGUAGGAAUCUACCUAUUAGUGGGGGACAACUUAGGGAAACUUAAGCUAAUACCGCAUACGCCCUACGGGGGAAAGAAGGGGAUCGCAAGACCUUUUGCUAAUAGAUGAGCGUGCGUAGGAUUAGCUAGUUGGUGGGGUAAAAGCUCACCAAGGCGACGAUCCUUAACUGGUUUGAGAGAAUGAUCAGUCACGCUGGAACUGAGACACGGUCCAGACUCCUACGGGAGGCAGCAGUGGGGAAUAUUGGACAAUGGGCGAAAGCCUGAUCCAGCAAUACCGCGUGUGUGAAGAAGGCCUUAGGGUUGUAAAGCACUUUCAAUUGGAAGGAAAACCUCGAAGCUAAUACCUUCGAGUUUGACAUUACCUUUAGAAGAAGCACCGGCUAACUCCGUGCCAGCCGCCGCCGUAAAAC